AUUGAACGCUGGCGGCAGGCUUAACACAUGCAAGUCGAGCGGGGGAAGGUAGCUUGCUACCGGACCUAGCGGCGGACGGGUGAGUAAUGCUUAGGAAUCUGCCUAUUAGUGGGGGACAACAUCUCGAAAGGGAUGCUAAUACCGCAUACGUCCUACGGGAGAAAGCAGGGGAUCUUCGGACCUUGCGCUAAUAGAUGAGCCUAAGUCGGAUUAGCUAGUUGGUGGGGUAAAGGCCUACCAAGGCGACGAUCUGUAGCGGGUCUGAGAGGAUGAUCCGCCACACUGGGACUGAGACACGGCCCAGACUCCUACGGGAGGUAGCAGUGGGGAAUAUUGGACAAUGGGGGGAACCCUGAUCCAGCCGUGCCGCGUGUGUGAAGAAGGCCUUAUGGUUGUAAAGCACUUUAAGCGAGGAGGAGGCUACUUUAGUUAAUACCUAGAGAUAGUGGACGUUACUCGCAGAAUAAGCACCGGCUAACUCUGUGCCAGCCGCCGCAGUAA
rnacentral:rRNA from 1 species